rnacentral:rRNA from 1 species
CAUCUUUUCUUGUUAGUUUUUGAAGUAUGGCCUGCCCACUGACUUAGAGUUGAAGGGCCGCGGUAUUUUGACCGUGCAAAGGUAGCAUAAUCAUUAGUUCUUUAAUUGUGAUCUGGUAUGAAUGGCUUGACGAGACAUAAGCUGUCUUAGAAGUAUUGGUUUAUUGAAUUUGGUUUUUGAGUUAAAAUUCUUAAAUGUUUUUAUGGGACGAGAAGACCCUAUAGAGUUUGACAAUUUUCCUAUUUAUUCGUUGUUUGUUUUAUUUACAUUGAGUGGGAAUGAAUUGUUUUGUUGGGGUGAUGGGAGGAAUAUUGUUUAACUCCUCUUUGUUUUUAUAUAUUUAUGUAUAUAUUUUUGAUCCAUUUAUUUUGAUUAUAAGAUUAAAUUACCUUA